CAGUCGCCACGGUAAUACGUAGGUGGCAAGCGUUGUCCGGAAUUAUUGGGCGUAAAGGGCUCGCAGGCGGUUUCUUAAGUCUGAUGUGAAAGCCCCCGGCUCAACCGGGGAGGGUCAUUGGAAACUGGGAAACUUGAGUGCAGAAGAGGAGAGUGGAAUUCCACGUGUAGCGGUGAAAUGCGUAGAGAUGUGGAGGAACACCAGUGGCGAAGGCGACUCUCUGGUCUGUAACUGACGCUGAGGAGCGAAAGUGUGGGGAGCGAACAGGAUUAGAUACCCGCGUAGUCCCUGUCUCUUAUAC
rnacentral:rRNA from 1 species